AGGGAUUGCCCUAGUAACGGCGAGUGAAGCGGCAACAGCUCAAAUUUGAAAUCUGGCGCAAGCCCGAGUUGUAAUUUGUAGAGGAUGCUUCUGGGCAGCGGCCGGUCUAAGUUCCUUGGAACAGGACGUCAUAGAGGGUGAGAAUCCCGUAUGCGACCGGUUGGCACCCGUCACGUAGCUCCUUCGACGAGUCGAGUUGUUUGGGAAUGCAGCUCUAAAUGGGUGGUAAAUGUCAUCUAAAGCUAAAUACCGGCCAGAGACCGAUAGCGCACAAGUAGAGUGAUCGAAAGAUGAAAAGCACUUUGGAAAGAGAGUUAAAAAGCACGUGAAAUUGUUGAAAGGGAAGCGCAUGCAACCAGACUUGUCGGCGGUGUUCCGCCGGGCUUCUGCCCGGUCUACUCGCCGCCGGCAGGCCAGCAUCGUCUGGGCGCGCCGGACAAAGGCGGUGGGAAUGUGGCCCCUCGGGGUGUUAUAGCCCACCGCACAAUACGGCGCCGCUCGGGCGAGGUCCGCGCUUCGGCUAGGAUGCUGGCGUAA
rnacentral:rRNA from 1 species